rnacentral:SRP_RNA from 1 species
CGUCAGGGACUACGGAUAGCAGGCAGACCAACCCCGCCAGGGCCGGAAGGCAGCAACGGUCGUCCGACUUGCUUUGUCGUAGCUCUCUGGCGGCU